GGAGUUACUAGUAAUCGCAGAUCAGAAUGCUGCGGUGAAUGCGUUCCCGGGUCUUGUACACACCGCCCGUCACACCAUGGAAGUUGGGGGCGCCCGAAGCCGGUUAGCUAACCUUUUAGGAAGCGGCCGUCGAAGGUGAAACCAAUGACUGGGGUGAAGUCGUAACAAGGUAGCCGUAUCGGAAGGUGCGGCUGGAUCACCUCCUUU
rnacentral:rRNA from 1 species